rnacentral:ribozyme from 11 species
GAAAAAGGUAAGAAGAAAGGAAGGAACCUGAGCUGAUGGAUUGUUUCUUCUUUUCGCGCCGUCUCCUUUAUUCUUUUCUCUUCUUCCUCUCGAUAUUU